rnacentral:rRNA from 1 species
UACGUAGGGGGCAAGCGUUGUCCGGAUUUAUUGGGCGUAAAGAGCGUGUAGGCGGCUUGACAGGUCUGCUGUGAAAACUCGAGGCUCAACCUCGAGAUGUCGGCGGAAACCGUCUGGCUAGAGUCCGGAAGAGGAGAAUGGAAUUCCUGGUGUAGCGGUGAAAUGCGCAGAUAUCAGGAAGAACACCCGUGGCGAAGGCGGUUCUCUGGGACGGUACUGACGCUGAGACGCGAAAGCGUGGGGAGCGAACAGG